CGCUCCGCCCUCGCGCCGCUGUUCUCUGCCCAGUCGCGCGCCGCACUUCCCUUUCUCCGCCGGGCGCCGUGGUGGGAGUCGAUGCUGAGGCACCUGUUCUGGGGACACAGAGUGGUGUUCCACUCAUGCUUCUCCACGGUCAAGCUUUUAAAGUGCUGUCUAUUUACAAUGCAACUGCAGUCACCGGAGUUCCAGGCACUGUUCACCCAAGGACUGAAGAGUGUGGCAGAGAUAUUUGUUAAAGAAAAUCAUGAAAUAAGAAUAGCCGGAGGAGCUGUACGGGAUUUGUUAAGCGGAACGCCACCACAUGAUGUGGACUUUGCCACUACUGCGACCCCUGAUCAAAUGAAGAUGAUGUUCAAGGCUGCUGGUGUUCGGUUGAUCAAUCACAAAGGAGAAAAUCACGGUACCAUUACUGCCAGACUUCAUGAAGAAAACUUUGAAAUUACUACUCUUAGGAUUGAUGUCAUGACCGAUGGAAGACAUGCAGAAGUAGAGUUCACGACUGACUGGGAAAAAGAUGCUGGACGCAGAGAUCUCACCAUAAACUCUAUGUUUUUAGGCUUUGAUGGUACCCUGUAUGACUACUUCAAUGGUUAUGAAGACUUAAAAAAUAAGAAAGUUAGAUUUGUUGGACUCCCAAACAAGAGAAUUCAGGAAGAUUAUCUACGGAUUUUGAGAUAUUUCAGGUUCUUUGGAAAAAUAGCAGAAAAUCCCGAUGACCACGAUCCUGACACGUUAAAAGCCAUUAAGGGAAAUGCAAAAGGAUUGGCUGGAAUAUCAGGAGAGAGGAUUUGGGUGGAGCUGAAAAAAAUUCUUGUUGGUAAUCAUGUAGAACACUUGGUUCGACUUAUGUAUGAGCUUGACGUGGCUUAUUAUAUAGGGUUGCCUACUGAUGUGAAUUUAGAAGAACUUGACAAAGUCUAUAAAAACACUCGGAAUCUUUCUGCGAGUCCAAUAACCUUUUUGACUUCAUUAUUCAGAGAUCAGGAUGAUGUCACAAAACUUGAUUUCAGGUUGAAGAUUUCCAAACAAGAAAAAAAUCUGGCCCUGUUUCUGUUGAAGCACAGGAAAGAUUUAAUUAAAGCUGCUGACAGUUCUGAACCACUCAAACCAUUUCAGGAUUUCAUUUUAGAUUAAUUUGGUGCCGUGACUUGCCUGACAACGGUGUGGAGCAGUCUGUCUCUCAGUGAUCCCCAGGCACGACAAAAGCGAUCCUCCUGACCCCUAACACCACUGUCAAGUGCCAGAACCUGAACUCCUGAAUCCACACCUCUCACCGUCAGAAGUCUGCUGCCCCUCCUGAAACUGAAACCAAAAGAAACCCAACUAGUUGAUCACGCCUGUUGAAAUGACACCAGCGUGUGGCAGGACCUGAACACCUACUGGAACCUGAAGGGACUCCUGAAGUUUGACUUGUUGGUCUAAUCUGUAUUUUCUUAUUUUAGCUAGAAAAAUGGAAUGGUUUAACCUUUGAUUUCGAAUUUGUACUAUAGGAUUCCCCCGAUCCUUAUUAGGCCGACAGAUUCCUCUAUACUUUGAUUCAGUUGACCUUAAUAUAUAAUUGUUGGGUAUGUGCUCAGGUGCUUCUCAUAGCCCAGGAGGAAUACCCAACCUUUAGUCCCUUGCAAUCUGGCUGAUUAUGACUCUGAGGGCUGGAACAUAGGGGUCAGAAUUUUAUGGCUUGUUGAUGAUAUUGGUUUCCUUGACUGCUGUCUUCUAUGCUCUUCAAAUUGCUGUUACAGCUGCACAGAGAGCAAACAAUGAGAAAGUUCCAACUGGCCUAUAGCAGGGAACUUGGGGAGGGAGAGAGCUCAGAGAGGAAGGGGAUGUUUGGGAUAUGAUGAGGUUCAGACCAUAAGACUUCCCACCCCGACAUCAGGAGGGCUUUCUGCAGACAGUUGCCCAGGCCUCAAAGUCUGACUGCCAAAAAGGCUCCCACCAUGAGCAGCAGCCAGACGGGUGUAGGGUAUCCAGAGUAGUAUGAGUCCUGGAGACAUGGCUCCUUGACUCUGCCUUGUGCUAAAAGCACACGAGACGGGGGGAUGUGGAAGCACAGUGGUCAAGGCCUUGCAUUUGUCCCCCUUUCUCUCUGACCUUCCCCUCUGACCUAGGCUUGCUUGACCAUGCUGGGUGUGCCCGAUGACUUGUCGACUCAAGCCAAGCCUGGCUCUUUGAGUCAAAUAGCUCGAUGACUGGAUUGACUCAAAUUGAGCAGCCAGGCCCGAUUUGAGAGAAGAUGAAACUAUUCCCUUGAGUUAAUCCAGUAGAAUGGAGCAGGUCCAGGCCUGAACGGAAAAUGCCUGAGGGACUUACUGCUUUCUAUCCUAAAGUAUUUCUCUGGUAUUGUAUCCUUCUGAUCAUUAUGACUGCUUUACCAAUGGACUAUAAAGAAAUUCCGCAUUGCUUGAAGUUGAGCUGGCCCUGACUAGCAGGAGAAUCUCUGCCGCUCCAUGCCUCUCCCGACUAGUGCCGGAAGAAACGCAAGUGGUAAUAAACUUGUCUCUGACAUACCCUUUUUAAACACAA